rnacentral:rRNA from 1 species
CUGGGCUUGACAUGUAAUGAACAACAUGUGAAAGCAUGCGACUCUUCGGAGGCGUUACACAGGUGCUGCAUGGCCGUCGUCAGCUCGUGUCGUGAGAUGUUUGGUUAAGUCCAGCAACGAGCGCAACCCCUGUUGCCAGUUACCAGCACGUGAAGGUGGGGACUCUGGCGAGACUGCCCAGAUCAACUGGGAGGAAGGUGGGGACGACGCCAGGUCAGUAUGGCCCUUAUGCCCAGGGCUGCACACGUACUACAAUGCCCAGUACAGAGGGGGCCGAAGCCGCGAGGCGGAGGAAAUCCUAAAAACUGGGCCCAGUUCGGACUGUAGGCUGCAACCCGCCUACACGAAGCCGGAAUCGCUAGUAAUGGCGCAUCAGCUACGGCGCCGUGAAUACGUUCCC